CCUCAUGAUCCACCCACUUCGGCCUCCCAAAGUGCUGAGGUUACAGGCGUGAGCCACCACACCUGACCUGAAGUGGUCUUAUACAUAAUUGUGGUCAAUAUAUAAUUGUGGUCCUAUAUAAAUAUUAUUUUGGCUGUAUAUGUGGACCCAACAAAUAGAAGAUACUUUUUAAAGGCUAAUUAAUUUGCAGUUUUGUUAAUACCUGAGCUGACUGAAUUGAUCAUGUUUUCCACUAAAUUAAUAAAAUCAACAGACUAUUUUGGCAUCGUAUCAUAAAGUUCACAGAUCGCCUUUCCGCCGGAACCGCCAUCUUCCAGUAAUUCGCCAAAAUGACUAACACAAAGGGAAAGAGGAGAGGCACCCGAUAUAUGUUCUCUAGGCCUUUUAGAAAACAUGGAGUUGUUCCUUUGGUCACGUAUAUGCGAAUCUAUAAGAAAGGUGAUAUCGUAGACAUCAAGGGAAUGGGUACUGUUCAAAAAGGAAUGCCUCACAAGUGUUACCAUGGCAAAACUGGAAGAGUCUACAAUGUUACCCAGCAUGCUGUUGGCAUUGUUGUAAACAAACAAGUUAAGGGCAAGAUUCUUGCCAAGAGAAUUAAUGUAUGUAUUGAGCACAUUAAGCACUCUAAGAGCAAGGAUAGCUUCCUGAAACGCGUGAAGGAAAAUGAUCAGAAAAAGAAAGAAGCCAAAGAGAAAGGUACCUGGGUUCAACUGAAGCGCCAGCCUGUUCCACCCAGAGAAGCACGCUUUGUGAGAACCAAUGGGAAGGAGCCUGAGCUGCUGGAACCUAUUCCUUAUGAAUUCAUGGCAUAAUAGGUGUUAAAAA